rnacentral:misc_RNA from 1 species
UUUUGACGUUGUUCUUUAGCCAGAGCGCAAGGGAACCGCAGCCCCCGAGAUACUCCAGAGUAAGAGAUUCAUGGUUCAUAUUUUGUCGACACAAGUACAUGUGCCACAAAACGUGUUGUUAAAGCGGGCAACUCGAAAGUCGCCAUUAAUUAGAAGGUUCGCGGGACGCAAAAGUCAAGCCAAAGUUUUACCCUAGGCCCUCCUUCUGAGACUGCCACCAGCGUUAGCCAGUGGACUUGAGGUGUGGUAAUGAUCCUUCCGCAGGUUCACCUACGGAAA